CUAAUAUGAGAAUAUGUAUUUCCCCUCAUAAUUACCAACACUAGGUUUUGAUGACCUUUUUUUCAUCUUGAAAAUCUAAGUUGUAAAAGAAAAUGUUUUGUUAUUUUAAAAAUUUGAUUCGUAUCUUUCCUUGUAUUGGUUAUCUAUAUUUCUUCUUUGUGUAUUACCUACUUAUUUAUUUACUUUGCCUAUUUUCUUUAAAAAAAUUUACAAUUGCUUUCUAAGAUUCCUUUGAAUUUUAGAGAAAUUUUCCCAUGUCUUUGAACCAAUAAGGAUGUGAUAUUUUUCAGGAAUAUCUCUGUAAAACUAAUACAGUUGACCCUUGAACAACAGACUUGUAAUGCAUGGAUCCACUUAUACACGGAUUUUCUUCAGUCUCUGCCACCCCUGAAACAGCAAGACUAAGCUCUCCUAUUCCUCCUCCUCCUCAACCUACCCAAUGUGAAGACAACAAGGAUGAAGACCUUUAUGAUGCUCCACUUCCACUUAAUGAACACUAAGUGUAUUUUCUUGUUCUUAUGAUUUUCUUAAUAACAUUUUCUUUUCUCUAGCUUAUUUUAUUGUAAUAAUACAGAAUAUAAUACAUACAUGUACGAAAUGUGUGUUAAUCAAUUGUUCAUUUAUUGGUAAGGCUGCUGUUCAACAAUAGGCUAUUAGUAAAGUUUGUGGUUUGUGGGGAGUCAAAAGUUAUACCUUGGUUUUUUUGACUGUAUAGGUGGUCAGUGGCCCUAACCCCCAUCUUAUUCAAGGGUCAACUGCAGUUACAAAAAGUAGCAAUGUUUCAUCAAAUCUAAAAACUUUCAUGAUUUUUAAAAUGCACUCAUAUUUUUAUAGUACAAAAAGAAAAAAACUGCUAAGAUAUAAAAAUUGCUAAAAAUUAAGCUCAAAGUAAGUAGAACUAAGGAAAUAAGGAGUAAAAAUCAAUAAAAUAAAAAAUCUUAAAAAUCAACAAACUCAAAAGUUAUUUCCUUGAAGAAAAAAAUGUGUAAACUUGAUUAACUCCCAAUAAAACUGAUCAAAAAAAGAAAA
rnacentral:lncRNA from 10 species